AAAAGACUUCGAAUCCAGGAAAUUACCAACCCCGUAUCACCCUUCGUUCCGAGCACACAUACUUGAGUCCGAAUCCGAGCACAUUCACAGAUCAAUUGCAAGACGAUACACCAUUACGAACGAUUUCAGUCUCGCUACAAAACCCGGUACAGGUUCGUUGCGAAUCAAGGCACCCCGAAUCCAUGACCUCUCGCUACGAAUCAAUCGAUUAUACCCCAAUGCGAAUCUAUGUCUACGAACGUUCGUGAAAGAAGAGUGCGAGCCCAAUUCCGAUCGUUCGUAAGUUGGCGUUCACAAUACAUCAAUUUUGACUUUUUCUAGUUGACUUGCAGGAACAUCCGCUCAAAUCACCCCAUUUCAUACGUUCGCAUGUAAGACUUUCGCACUUGUUCACCCUGAUUGACUUACGAUUCGGAUUUCAUUCAUUCGCAGGUUAGGACUUUCACAGCGAAUUUGACUUUUCAAUUUUGUCUAUUUUUCAUCCCAAUUGCUUUCCAGCUCUCGUUCACAUCAUACUUCUGAUUACAACUUAAGCCAUGAUUGCAAGACCCAUUUUAUCACGAACCAGAAGAAUGUGAAGCACCAAAUUUUAUUUUGACUUUUUGCAUAGACUACCAAAACGAGAUCCAACACAGUUCAUCCCAUCUUCAUCAUUGUUAUCUGUCCUUGAUUGUUCUUCAAAGCACACCCAAUCAAAGAUUCAUAAAUAUUGUUCUCAAACAAAUUGAUUGAAACAGAUUGGUCAUUCAAUCUAGGCCUGUCAAAUCGUGUCAUCGUGUCGUGUUUCUGUCUGACACGACACAGAAACACGACACGACACGACAAUGUUUUUUGUAACACGAACACGACACGACACGAUGUCGUGUUUUUUUUCACUAACACGAAAACGAACCAAUUAAAAAACGACAACACGACACGACACGACAAAGAUAAUAUUACAUAACUAUUAUUUUAUUUGAUUCAUAUUUAAUCAUAUAUAACACGAUAAAAACGAAAAACACGACAAACACGACAAACACAUGCUCAAUCGUGUCAAUUUCGUGUGGAUUUGUAAACACGAACACGACAUCGUGUUUUUUAUAUUUGACACGAACACGACACGAAAACGAAUUCGAAUUUUGAUUUCGUCCCAAUUUCGUUUCGUGUCGUGUAUUUUUGUCGUGUCGUGUCAUAAAUUGACACCCCUAAUUCAAUCACAAGAUCAUACAAAAAAAAAUCAAGAUUGAUCGAAUAUUGAUUACAGAAUGAAUCGAACACAAGAAACACUCUAUAAUACAGACACUAUUAUCGAGAAGAUUAAUUCAAUGAAAAGAUUGUAAUCAAACCAAUGGAAAACACAUGAUUUUGAAUUGAUUAGAAUACAAGAACACUUAAUCGUCAAAUAGAUGAACACAUCGUUUUAAUAAUGAAUUUUGAUUUGAGGACCAAAUUUUGCGACAUCGACAGCAAUAUAUAUCAAAAAUGAUGAACAAUGGACGAAAAAUGUGAGCUCAAGAAUGAACAGUAAACGACACUAGUUAGGCUCAGGAACAAUAUGGAAUUGAAUUAAUGGAUUAAAACAAAAGAAACAAAUCCAUCCACAACAAACAAAUGAUCCAAUCCAAUCAAAAAUAUGAACUUAAGAACGAAUGGGAUUAAAAAAAAUACCAGAUGAACAGAAUACAUAAGUAUCCAUGAAUAGUUGCUUGAACAAAAAGCUUGAUUCCAAGACGCCAAAACAUCCAAAAUCUUCAAUAACUUGUGCAGAAAAUCAUCAAACCAAGAAUCGAUACUUAAACAAUCAAUAGAUCUUCAAAGACCCACUCUGAUACCACUUGUUGGGAAUAAAACCCUAAUUGAGAUUUGAUGAAUAAGAUGCGGAAAAUAAGAACAAACACAAAUAUGAAGAUUAUGUCGAAUGAUCACUCGAUUUAUUGAAUUAUGAGGAACAAAUUACACUUUAAGAAUAAGGAUCUAACUCUACAAGAAACCUCACAAUGUGGCGGCUACAUUUUGUCUCACUCUUUACCCUAAUUAUGAAUAAUACAUGACUAUUUAUAGGGAAAAGACAAGUCUUGGGCUUUUAACCUACACUUCAUCAAGGGGGCCCAUUUCCAUAAUCCAUGGAGUACUAUGAAACCCUAAAGUUAUGUUUCAAUUAUAUACUAUGUGAUGGUACUAUAAAGAUGAAAGUCACACCAAGCCCCCAGACGUUUCCACCGUCUAGUUCGGAGGUGUGACAGUACUCAAGACCAUUUAGUUGAUUCAGUAGGUGCGUGAUAGGUUGCGUAUCGUGCAGAGCAGGCAUAAAAAUUUACACUGACCAACGCCAAUCUGACCUUGAGUUUCAGAUGAGAGAUCUUGUGCUCCUAAAGGUUUCACCUUGGAAAGAUGUCAUCCGGUUUUGAAAGCGGGGAAAGUUAGGCCCCAUAUUUAUUGGUUCAUUCAGAUUUAUCGCUUGGGUGGGCAAGGUUACGUAUCGAUUGGAUUUACCCAUCGAGCUUUGCCAGAUUCACGACACAUUUCAUGUCUCUCAACUGCGGAAGUGUCUGACUAAUGAUUCCGAAAUGGUUCAUUUGGAUGACAUUCAGGUUGAUGAUUGCCUAAAUUAUAUAGAGAGACCGGAUGUGAUUCUAGACAGAAGGACGAAGACCUUGCGCAACAAGGUAGUAAGUUUGGUGAAGGUGCAAUGGCAUCACCAUAAAGGGUUCCAAAUGGACUUGGGAACCCAAAUAUGAUAUGAGGGAGCAUUAUCCUGAAUUAUUUGCAGCAACAGAUUUCGAGGAAGAAAUCUGAUUCAAGUGGGGGGGAGUUGUAACAACCGUUUCCUAGUAUGGUUCUUAUGAUUUUAGUUUCAUUAAUUUAGUUUGGGAUUUUGUCUAAGCCACGACGUGAUGAUGGAUUGACCACGAUAUGGCAGCCCGGUUUAGGAAAAUGCGCAUCCAUAACCAUCACGACGUGGCAAGGUCUUGGACAUGAACGUGACGACGACUAGGGUUUAAAACCCUAGGUUUCGGGAUUAGUGCCCCAUUUAAAAGCAUUAACUCCUAAGGUCGUCUCAUUUGGCAGCCUCCAUCCUCUAAAAGCGAUCCCCACCUAAACACAAGCCUCUUUAUGUGUGUUCUAAGAGUGUAAAACCAUUUUGUGAAUCUUAAGAAGAAGGAGUCAAUCUAGUGGUUUGGAAGCUUGGUUUUGGAUUGGAUCUAGCAUCUUUAUCUCAUUUCUGACCUUGUGGAGAUAUAAAGUAUCAACCUUGAUCACUGUAGCUUUAGAUCUUAUGCUAGGCCAUUUUAUGAGCUUUUAGUCCCAAUCUUCUUGUCUUUGGAGUUUGGUUAAACUCCAGAGCAUUUGAGUGCAUUAUAUAGUUCUAGACCAUGGUGUUGGUUGGAAAGUGGUCUUGCAUGACCUACGGUGGUGUCCAUGUAAUUGGUGCAACCAUUAAGAACCUAGGAUUAGAGAUCUCGACUUAUUGGAGUGUAUUAAUGGAUAAAGUUGGAAACUUUGUCCAAUAAGACCUUAAGGAGAUUUAAAUUUGAGCUUUGGAGCUCUUGGUGUAAAGGGAUACGAGCUUAAUCCAUUAAGUUGUUUAUGCCUAGUUACCAUGACGUGGUGGUUGGCCUGGUCGCGAUUGUUUUGUCGUAAUGCUCUCACGAUGUGGCCAAUGAGUGGUCACGACAUGAGGAUUGUCUGGGGUGACUUUGACCGUUGACUUUUUGACAUGGUUGACUUUUGGAUAAAUGGUUAGUGUGAGAGGUAGACUAAGGAUUAAUCUUGAAUAUUUCGAUAGGUGGGUUGUACCACCGGUUCCUUGAUUAGUUCGAGAUGUGGUUGAUCAUAUUCGAAUGUGAGGUACUUCUGGUUCCAAAGGGAAGUGCCCGACAUGAUUGCACAACAUCCCUGAAUUUUUAUUCCGCACUGUUUAUUUGAUUUACUCUGAUGUUAAGAAUAUUUAUACUUUGGUUGGUUUUGGAACAAAUGGUUGUAUCAUUUUGGGUGUUUUGAAAAUGAAAUUUUUACUAGUAUUUUUUGGGACCUUA